rnacentral:rRNA from 1 species
GACGAACGCUGGCGGCGUGCUUAACACAUGCAAGUCGAACGGAAAGGCCUCUUUCGGGGGGUACUCGAGUGGCGAACGGGUGAGUAACGCGUGAGUAACCUGCCCUUGACUUUGGGAUAACUUCAGGAAACUGGGGCUAAUACCGGAUAGGAGCUCCUGCUGCAUGGUGGGGGUUGGAAAGUUUCGGCGGUUGGGGAUGGACUCGCGGCUUAUCAGCUUGUUGGUGGGGUAGUGGCUUACCAAGGCUUUGACGGGUAGCCGGCCUGAGAGGGUGACCGGCCACAUUGGGACUGAGAUACGGCCCAGACUCCUACGGGAGGCAGAAGGGGGGAAGAUUGCACAAUGGGUGGAAGCCUGAUGCAGCAACGCCGGGGGCGGGAGGACGGCCUUCGGGUUGGAAACCGCUUUCGCUCAUGACGAAGCUUUGUGUGACGGUAGUGGGUAAAGAAGCACCGGCUAACUACGUG